rnacentral:rRNA from 1 species
UACAGAGGUCUCAAGCGUUGUUCGGAUUCAUUGGGCGUAAAGGGUGCGUAGGCGGCGCGGUAAGUCGGGUGUGAAAUCUUGGAGCUUAACUCCGAAACUGCAUUCGAUACUGCCGUGCUUGAGAACUGGAGAGGAGACUGGAAUUUACGGUGUAGCGGUGAAAUGCGUAGAUAUCGUAAGGAAGACCAGUGGCGAAGGCGGGUCUCGUGGACAGUUCCUGACGCUGAGGCACGAAGGCCAGGGGAGCAAACGGG